UUUACUUUCUGGCUUGUAAGUCUGAUUCACUGGUAUAUUUGUUUAAACUACUCAAGUCAGAGAAGUGAAAUCCACUGUGUCAGAUAAUUAAAAAAUGUCUUUCAGAUUCCAGGAGAGAAAAACUUUGCAUUAUCAGCAUGUUAUAAUGGGGGGAAAAUGCUGGAAUUGGAAUCAGAAGACUUGUUUUCAAGGAUCUCUUCUAUUAGUUGUGUGAAUCUAGGUGUAGCUGCACUGCUGAGCACUGCUGGCCUGGACAAGAAAGUAGAAGCAUACCUG